rnacentral:rRNA from 1 species
AAGAGACAGCAGUAGCCGCGGUAAUACGUAGGGUGCGAGCGUUAAUCGGAAUUACUGGGCGUAAAGCGUGCGCAGGCGGUUUGUUAAGACAGAUGUGAAAUCCCCGGGCUCAACCUGGGAACUGCAUUUGUGACUGGCAAGCUAGAGUGUGGCAGAGGGGGGUGGAAUUCCGCGUGUAGCAGUGAAAUGCGUAGAUAUGCGGAGGAACACCGAUGGCGAAGGCAGCCCCCUGGGCCAACACUGACGCUCAUGCACGAAAGCGUGGGGAGCAAACAGGAUUAGAUACCCCGGUAGUCCCUGUCUCUUAUAC